UGAAACCAGGAUUAGAUACCCUACUAUACUAAAGUGUUAUUAGAAACACUAAAAUAUUAUGAGAUGAAGUCUUUAAAUUUUAAGAAUUUGGCGGUAAUUUAGUCUUUCCAGAGGAACCUGUUUUUUAAUCGAUAAACCACGAAAUAUCUUACUUAUUUUAAAAUAGCGUUAGUUAAGGUUUGUAUACCGUCAUUAUCAGAUAAUAUUUAAAAAUAAAAUUAUUUAAUUUUAAAUAAUAAAAAAAAUUAGAUCAAGGUGCAGCUUAUAAAUAAGUUAAAAUGGGUUACAAUUAAGUUUAUAUAAUAAUGGAAUAAAAAUUGAAAUAUUUUUAAGAAGGAGGAUUUGGUUGUAAGUUAAAUUAGUGAGAUAAAAAGAUAUAAGCUCUAAAUUAUGUACAUAUCGCCCGUC
rnacentral:rRNA from 1 species